UAUAGAGUAUAUGCGUGAGUAAUGAGACAGAUCACAUUAUGAGACAAACCUUUGAAUUGAAACAAGCUCUUGCUUACAAUUUCUUUGCUACCUGACUUAUAAUUUUCUUGCACAGAUAGUUUGAAUAAACGCAGCUUUUUACUAAAAACUAAUUUUCUAAAAUUUUAUUUAUUGAAAUCACGCCUACUAAGGUAAUAAUUACUAAUAAUGACCACGUUGCGAGUUACUACGGUCCUAGUGUGUUGUCUGCUCGAGUCUGUGUGAGUGUUUGGAGACUUUGUUCCAGGCUGUUUCUGUCUCUAAUGUGACUGGCAUUGUAUGUUAACCGAGGCUUAAUGGCCGCAUGUCCUCAAAAGUCUGAGGAAGCUAUGGACCGAUGAGUCCAUGCACGCAGCAGUGAUUAGUGUUACAGAGGAAGGGAAAGGUUUAAGGGAAUCGGCGAGACUAUAUAAUGUGCCUGUUGAGACGUUGCGGAGAAGGACGAAUGGUACUGUUAGUGUUGACUGUAAACCGGGCCCUGCAACAGUCUUGUCGAAAGAA